UAAAUUAUUCUUUUGAGUCCAUUUGAAGAAGCAACAUCGAAAGUUAUGGAAUACGAAAUUGUCAGUGGUCGCCGCAGGAAUAGCAAAUUACUCUAUUCUAUUAGAACAAUUAUAUUUAAAAAAAUCUGUAUAUAAAGAUACUGCCUUUUACAUUUGUUAUAAUAAAAAGUGCAGAUCGCGAGUUUGUUUAUUAAAUAAUAUUUUGGCAAAGUACUCUGAUUUUAUUGAACAUAAUCACGAUAAACAAAAACAAUUAUAUAAAGAACUAAAAGCCUUAAAUAAAAUUAAAACCGAGUGUAAGCAACAUCAAUGAGCAAAAUGCAUUUACUGGGAAACAUUCAAAAGUGUCUGUAAUAGUUCCCAAGAUGCUACAAAAAACAUAAAUUUUUCCGAAAUUCAACGUGGGUUGCAGUAUUUAACUAGCAAAGUUUUGUUGACGUCUCCAAAGACACGAAGUGAUGUCUAACAGGCGUUUCAAAAGGAAGAAGUUUUUAAAAAUUUUGGACUUAGCAAACACAACGAUACAACACCCUUUUUUACAAUUUGCCACGAACAAACAGAAUUUUCCUAUUGUGUUUUUGUGUCAGAUAAAAUUGUUGGCAUCAUAAAAGAAAACAUUCCCGAAAAUUCCAAUAGGAAAAUUUUAAUUGAUGCAGUAUUUAACUAGCAAAGUUUUCUUGACGUCUCCAAAGACACCAAGUGAUGUGCAACAGGCGUUUCAAAAGGAAGAAGUUUUUAAAAAUUUUGGACUUAGCAAACACAACGAUGCAACGCAACAAAAUAUAAGGACUUGACAACAUUUAUAAGACAAAAUAAAAAAGCGUCGAUAGAAUAUCAUAAGAUUUUAUGCUUGCCUUUAUUACCACCUAUUUACAUCACUAGUUCUUUCCAACAAAUAAAAGAUUGGCCCCGAAGGGAUUUCUGUUUCCGAAGAUUCGACAAGAACAACAUCAGCCUUAGAAGCAUGGAAACUUUUUCAAAUUUGUAAAAACUCUUCAAGGAGAAGAAUUUUUCAAAAGCCGCAAGUUCGAAGAAUUUGCAGAUAGUGGUGGUUUAUUUGGACAGGUGAAAAGAAGGAAGACGGCAAUAUAAAAAAUAUCAAAAAAAUGAAAAUGCUGUUGAUGAGUUAAAAAAGGAAACAUAACUUCAGCGACCUUUCUCAAUAGAAUGGUAUACCCAAAAAACAAAACAUGCUCAGACAUGGAACCAUAUGAAGAUGUGUUUGAAGAAUUAGUCUACUUGGAAGAGAAAAUUGAAGAAGACGAUGUAGAAGAUCAUAUAGAACCACGCAACAUAGAAAUUAAAUUGUGUUUCGUCUGUGUAAAUGAAGAGCCUAAUACUUUGUUUUUGCCAUGUAAACACAUGAAAAUGUGUUAUCAAUGUUUCCUUAAAUUACAAGCUCAGGCUAUUGUCAACAAUGGUCAAUUAAAUUGUCCAGUAUGCCGUCAGGCUGUGGUAGAAACCAUGCAAGUAUUUUUGUAAAAAUUAAUAAAAACGUUUAUUUGAUUUUUUAGGAAAU